GUCCACACCGUAAACGAUGAUUACUAGAUUUUGGCCGCAAGGUCAGAGUCCAAGCGAAAGUGUUUAGUAAUCCACCUGGGGAGUACGUCCGCAAGGAUGAAACUCAAAGGAAUUGACGGGGGCCCCGCACAAGCGGUGGAGCAUGUGGUUUAAUUCGAUGAUACGCGAGGAACCUUACCUGGGCUUGAAAGUUAGUGACCGCUCCUGAAAGGGAGUUUUCCGCAAGGACACGAAACUAGGUGCUGCAUGGCUGUCGU
rnacentral:rRNA from 1 species